rnacentral:rRNA from 1 species
AAAUUAAAACUUUUAACAACGGAUCUCUUGGUUCUGGCAUCGAUGAAGAACGCAGCGAAAUGCGAUAAGUAAUGUGAAUUGCAGAAUUCAGUGAAUCAUCGAAUCUUUGAACGCACAUUGCGCCCCCUGGUAUUCCGGGGGGCAUGCCUGUUCGAGCGUCAU